rnacentral:rRNA from 1 species
GACGAACGCUGGCGGCGUGCCUAAUACAUGCAAGUUGAGCGCUGAAGGUUGGUACUUGUACCAACUGGAUGAGCAGCGAACGAGUGAGUAACGCGUGGGGAAUCUGCCUUUGAGCGGGGGACAACAUUUGGAAACGAAUGCUAAUACCGCAUAAAAACUUUAAACACAAGUUUUAAGUUUGAAAGAUGCAAUUGCAUCACUCAAAGAUGAUCCCGCGUUGUAUUAGCUAGUUGGUGAGGUAAAGGCUCACCAAGGCGAUGAUACAUAGCCGACCUGAGAGGGUGAUCGGCCACAUUGGGACUGAGACACGGCCCAAACUCCUACGGGAGGCAGCAGUAGGGAAUCUUCGGCAAUGGACGAAAGUCUGACCGAGCAACGCCGCGUGAGUGAAGAAGGUUGUCGGAUCGUAAAACUCUGUUGGUAGAGAAGAACGUUGGUGAGAGUGGAAAGCUCAUCAAGUGACGGUAACUACCCAGAAAGGGACGGCUAACUACGUG